GACAGAGGGGGCAAGCGUUGUUCGGAGUUACUGGGCGUAAAGCGUGCGUAGGCGGUGUCUUAAGUUUGUUGUGAAAUCUCCCGGCUUAACCGGGAGGGUGCGGCGAAUACUGAGAUGCUGGAGUGCGGGAGAGGUAAGCGGAAUUCCUGGUGUAGCGGUGAAAUGCGUAGAUAUCAGGAGGAACACCUGCGGUGUAGACGGCUUACUGGACCGUAACUGACGCUGAGGCACGAAAGCGUGGGUAGCAAACAGG
rnacentral:rRNA from 1 species